CCUACGGGAGGCAGCAGUGGGGAAUCUUGCGCAAUGGGCGAAAGCCUGACGCAGCCAUGCCGCGUGUAUGAUGAAGGUCUUAGGAUUGUAAAAUACUUUCACCGGUGAAGAUAAUGACUGUAGCCGGAGAAGAAGCCCCGGCUAACUUCGUGCCAGCAGCCGCGGUAAUACGAAGGGGGCUAGCGUUGCUCGGAAUUACUGGGCGUAAAGGGAGCGUAGGCGGACAUUUAAGUCAGAGGUGAAAUCCCGGAGCUUAACUUCGGAACUGCCUUUGAUACUGGGUGUCUUGAGUGUGAGAGAGGUAUGUGGAACUCCGAGUGUAGAGGUGAAAUUCGUAGAUAUUCGGAAGAACACCAGUGGCGAAGGCGACAUACUGGCUCAUUACUGACGCUGAGGCUCGAAAGCGUGGGGAGCAAACAGGAUUAGAUACCCUGGUAGUCCACGCCGUAAACGAUGAUUGCUAGUUGUCGGGAAGCUUGCUUCUCGGUGACGCAGCUACGACAUAAGACAUCCGCCGUGGGAGGUACGGUCGGCGAAGAAUUAAACGUUAAAACGGUAAAGUUAGUACGGACGUGAGACGUGCCGACGGACGACGACGAGGGAGGUAGG
rnacentral:rRNA from 1 species